rnacentral:lncRNA from 1 species
UACUUCAUUGAUGCCACAACCAUAAUAGAAUGUCUACAUUCCUUCUGUAAAACGUGUAUUGUUCGUUACCUGGAGACCAGCAAGUAUUGUCCUAUUUGUGAUGUCCAAGUUCACAAGACCAGACCACUACUGAAUAUAAGAUUGGAUCGGAAAGUAAACAAAGACAAAGAGAAAUCUAAGGAGGAGGUGAAUGAUAAAAGAUACUUACGAUGCCCAGCAGCAAUGACUGUGAUGCACUUAAGAAAGUUUCUCAGAAGUAAAAUGGACAUACCUAAUACUUUCCAGAUUGAUGUCAUGUAUGAGGAGGAACCUUUAAAGGAUUAUUAUACACUAAUGGAUAUUGCCUACAUUUAUACCUGGAGAAGGAAUGGUCCACUUCCAUUGAAAUACAGAGUUCGACCUACUUGUAAAAGAAUGAAGAUCAGUCACCAGAGAGAUGGACUGACAAAUGCUGGAGAACUGGAAAGUGACUCUGGGAGUGACAAGGCCAACAGCCCAGCAGGAGGUAUUCCCUCCACCUCUUCUUGUUUGCCUAGCCCCAGUACUCCAGUG